AGAAGUAAGAGUGGUCCCAUUGUAACAUCUGCUAAACUAUUGAUCACUAAGAUUUAUUUGGUUGAUCUGACUUGAUAAGAAGGUGUUCCCUUUGUUCUUUGCCAUUCCAUAUUUCUGAAGUUCAGAAGUUGCACACUUGAUGAAAGAUGGUGACCUUCUCUGAUAGAUGAAAUAUAAGUAGCUGCAUAUCUUUGUUAGAACUUCCAGUGUCCUUAAAGGAAACUGUAUAUAAAGCUGGUGGUAGAGAAGAAACUUCUAUAUUUUGGAUUGAACCUCACAACUCCCAUCCCAU
rnacentral:snRNA from 1 species